rnacentral:rRNA from 1 species
GACGAACGCUGGCGGCGUGCUUAACACAUGCAAGUCGAACGGAAAGGCCUGCUUUCCCUUGUGGAUUGCGGGUGCUCGAGUGGCGAACGGGUGAGUAACACGUGAGUGAUCUGCCCCCAACUUGGGUAUAAGCCUGGGAAACUGGGUCUAAUUCCCGAUAGGACUGCAGGGUGGUGCCUGUGGUGGAAAACGAUUUUCUAGUGGUUGGGGAUGAGCUCGCGGCCUAUCAGCUUGUUGGUGGGGUAAUGGCCUACCAAGGCGGCGACGGGUAGCCGGCCUGGGAGGGUGGACGGCCACAUUGGGACUGAGAUACGGCCCAGACUCCUACGGGAGGCAGCAGUGGGGAAUAUUGCACAAUGGGCGGGAGCCUGAUGCAGCGACGCCGCGUGGGGGAUGACGGCCUUCGGGUUGUAAGCUCCUUUCGACCGCGAGGAAGCCACCUGGUUGGAAGGGUGGUGACGGUAGUGGUAGAAGAAGCACCGGCUAACUACGUG